GGAGGAGUUCCCGAGUGGCCAAAGGGGGCAGACUGUAAAUCUGUUGUCACAGACUUCAGUGGUUCAAAUCCACUCUCCUCCACCA
rnacentral:tRNA from 2 species